UAAAAUUAAAUAUGAAUUAAAAACUUUUGGAGACUCUUUAUUCAAUAUUCUCCCCUCUAGUCCUCUUAAAGGUCGUAAUUUUAGAAUACUACGAUGCCGAUUUCUAUCUAUUAGGCUACUUUACAUUUACAUCUGAUAUCACGAAAAUUAUGGAUACCGAUCACAAAAGGCACUGUUCUUUGAAAUCGUUGAUAUGAUUUUGUUUUGUUGCUAUAUUCAGGUCACCAGCAGAAGAGCAACCUAGAAGGCUCACCUGGGAUCUGAUCGGUUUAAGACAUUAGAACUCUGUACGUUUACACAAAGAAGCAAUAAAGAUCAAUCGUUGGCCAAUCAUAUUAAAGUUUCUUCUAAAUUUUAUCUUCAUUUCAUUCGUGAGCUUUCAUUAUUACAACAAAUUGGUAUCAGAUCUGGAUCGAUUGAUUUUUUGUAAGGAUCUUUGGCUGCGUUUUCUUAUGGAUCGAUUGAAUAGGGUGAAGAAUUUUUUGGGUGACAAUUCAAUAACGGUUUUCGAUAUAAAGAUCUUGGGUGUGCGAUUUCUCUGUGCAUUUUCGAUCUUUAAAAAGAGGAAAACAUGUGAGGAAGUUAAAGGCAACUCUAUCUAGCAUGAAGAUUCAAGAUUUAGAGUGAAGUCAAUAUUCAUACAUGUAUAUGUUACUCCCAUGUCUGCAUCGAAAUCCCUGGUAUCCAUUUCAAGACUAAUGGAGUUGUCCUUCACAUAUAAUGUGGUAUAGUGGUUCAUGCCUAAGAAGUCAAAUGAACCCUUCAUUCUCUGUGAUUCAAAUCUUGUAAAAGUUGGAAUUCGGUUCCCUGCAUUCUUCUUCAUUAUUUCUGGGUAGUCCCCAUUCACCAAGGGAUUUAAAAACCUGAAAUAGGAACCAUAAAAACAAAGAUCAAAUGAAAGUUGAGUUUAAUGCAAUUACAAAAAGCAAUAUAUGACUCUUGGUGUUUCUAAUAAUAUCAAUAUUGGUAAAAAGGUUAGCAUUUGUGUUCACUCACCAACCCAAAUAGAAAUCACGGGCUCUUUGGGUAGCUUUAACAUCUUCCGUUUUGUUUGUAUAAGGUUCAAACCAAAAGCCCAACAGAUUUAAUCCAAUAAAACCAUGUUGCAUGGCCUACAUAUAUCACCAAUAUCCGUCAAGUGUCAUUGUAGUGAGUGUUUUUUGAAGAAAAUAGUAUAAAAAGAUAGCAUUAUGAUGACAUGAGAGCUUCAAUAUUGCAAAUCUUUAUUACCUUGUAUUUUUGGCGAUAAAGUCUUGCUGCUGACGCAUGUGAUAGCAACAAAUUGUGAGCUACAAGGUAUGGCUCAGAAGUAGAGUUACCUUUGCUACAGUUAAACCCAAAUGGGGAAGAACAACGUCCAGGAGGUGUGAACCCAUAAUCAUAACCACCUAAAGUAAAUAUAUUGGCUUCAUUAAAAGUUGUCCAGUGUAAAACCCUAUCACCAAAUUCUCUGAAGCAAACAUCAGCAUAUGCAACAAAGUCUUUCCUGUAAUAUUUAUAAACAUAUCAUUCAUGCAAAUAUUAUAUGACAAACACAACUAGUUCCAUGUUAGAAAUGUACACUGAUUUUCUACUAGUCCAUCCUCCAUAUUCAUCUGCAAGUAUCUGUGGUAUGUCGAAAUGAUUUAAAGUAACAUGUGGUUGUAUUCCUGUACACUCGGAACAAGUAAUUCAAUCUUUUUUAGGCAUUGUUUGUUUAGUUAGAAAAUUGAACUUGUAUUUCUUGAUGACAAGACAUUGGCAUUUUUAUAUCUAAUUACCAUGAGCAAUAAGCCUGUUGAUGAAAUCGUUGUAGAAUUGUAAGCCCUUUACAUUGAUCGAUCCUCUUCCAUCUUCAAAAAAUAAAAAUAAAGUAAAAUUGUUUAUAAGGAAGACAAGUGAAGAUCCAUAAAAUUUUCAUUAGACUAUUAAGUGAACAUACUAGGGAUGAGUCUCGACCAAGAGAUAGAAAAUCUAUAUGCUUCCAAACCCAUGUCUGCUAUAAGUUCAAUGUCUUCCUGCAUUAAUAUUCAACUACAAUGAGUUGUAGUGGCUCAAAGUAAACUAAUUUCUAUAUUAAUUAGGAGUCUACUAUUUUGACUUGUAAUGUUGUAUGAAGCCAUAUCUCCUUAAACAUGUAUUAAACCGAUUAGAAUGGAGUUCUUAUGCUAGUUAUCGAAAAAAUGAGUUGUUUGUUGUGGCAAAUCUAGAUGGUGUUUACCUUGUAUUUAUGGUACCCAUCACAUGUUAUGUCUGCAUUUUCUCCAUUGUUCCAGGGAACCCCUUCAUAGUAUCACACAAAAAAUUACAUUGAAACUUAAGAGUUGUAGCAUUUAGUAUUGGUGAUUUUAGUGUCAUCAAGCAAUUUAAGUAAUUAGGAUUUACACUACUACUUAAAGGAUUUAAAGUUAUGCUUGAAUAUGAGUCAUGAGGUGUGAGUCUUCACUCAUAUGAGCUAGUUUGAUCUUGGACACAACCAAUGGUAGGGAUCAAGGGGGUUGCACCCCUUAAGGGGUCUAGGGCAAUGCCAUGAAACCUCAAAGGUUCCGAAGUGUAGCGUUGAAACCUGCUACUAAAAACUUGGGCUGCAAACAGUUUUAGGGUCAUGUUGUUACAGCCAUGUCAAGAAUUUCAUAAUACCACCAACAACACGCAUUAGUAAUUAAUGUUCAUCUCGAUGAUGGAACUACUUGUAUAAACAUAGAGAGGUAUUUUGGAUUUUAUUGUUCUCUCUAAUAUUUGAGAUUGAACAAGCUAAACAUGAAUUUAGUCAAGGACAUAUAGUUAUUGACUAAAUUCAAAUUUGUCAUUUAGAUUGCAUUAUGCUCAAGUAAAUUUCAUGAUACCUAAUAACGUAAUUGUUGAAUAGUACUUUUGGAAAGUUUCUCACACGAUUCAUUUCGGAAUGUUUCUCACACAAUCCAUUUCUCUAUAAAUGCUUACACAAGAUCAAUACUCGCAUCGUUUGUCACACCUCCACUUAUACAAGAUCAAUAUUCACUGCAUCACUUUUGAACCGUCUAGACUGAUUUUACCCGAUUUGACCUUGACCGAUUAAUAAUUGUAGUCGGUAAAUUGCCGUCAUGCGCUCAAGCAGCGCCAAUUUAUUGGGGGCUUAGGCUGAUUUUUAAAACAUUGGUCUGAAGUCUCAGGCCUAACAUGAAAUAAUUUACCUACUUGAUAACUUCCAGCAGUGGACCAAUUUAUUGUCGGACCGAUUUCCACACAACCAGUCGAUUUCCAUUCGGAGUCAGAAAUCGAUAUGUAAUUGCUUGAUUAUUUUCAUUUUGCAAAACAUGAUUGACAACGAACAACAUCACUAUAUUUGAAGGCAAACUAGCAAAAACACUUACAAAAUACUUGGCAUCAUUGUCGAUUAUCUACAUAACAACUCUAGUUCCAAGACAAUAGAGAGAGAGAGACAAAAAGGUUCUGAUUUGUUUCUAAUCUUAACUUGAAAGCCUUCAAGUAAUUAAAUUUGUUAAAACCUUAACCUAUGGGUGUAGUUUAAAACUAUGAAAUGGGUGUGACAUGUCGAGUUUAAAACUAUGAAAUGGGUGUAAUUUAAAACUAUGAAAUGUUUGUGGUCCGGAAUGUUGAAAACAAUGUAUGACAUGUCGAGUUCGAAUGUACUAUGUGUGGAAUUAAGAACCAGAGGAAUGUCUAAAAUAUGCAAAAUGUCCAAAAUAUCAUAUCCCUAUAAAAAGGUAGUCCCAAAUGUCACAUCUCACAUGUCUAACUAACAUUUAAAACAAAAAAAAGGAGCUGAUAUUGCCACGGUAAUUAUUGAUUCAUCCACUGAAAAUAGAUUGACAAUUAUGCCCCUGCUUACUAAUCUUUCUAUCAAAAAAACCCACACAUCUGAAAAGUGAAAACUCCAAACCACGCACAACAAACAUACAAUUACUCCUCCUCAUUUGGUGCUGGUUCGAUCGAUUCUUUUUCAGCCGCCAACAUUGGUACAUGUAGUAGCCGGAAGCUGAUGGUGCACGUGGCUUGCAACAUAUUCAAUUCAAACGAGUGCAGUACACUCAUUAGAAGCUUUAAUCAACGGAGCUAUGCUGGGUGAUGGUGGUGGGGUUUCUUAUUUUGAGCUUUGAGUGAAACUUGAAGCGGUGAACACUAUCAGAAGAACGACAGGUGUUGAUAUCACAUAAAUUGCCCAAAAAAACCUUCUUUUCUUCUCUUCUCUCUGUGUGAUAUAAACCCAACAGCUAGGUUUUUUAUUUUAUUUUUUGUGUGUACAAAAACAUAGCAAGGAAUGAGAGAAACAUAGCAGGGAGUGAGAGGACUUUAUCCAACGAUGUGAACCCAUGUUUCAGUCGGCUCCUAACUGUGUUUAGAGUUUCCUUAAUGAUAUUGAAAAUC